rnacentral:other from 1 species
GUAACUCUGAGAUGUUCGCCAGCGGGUCAAAUUCCCCUGAGCCGAUACUUAAACUUAUGGAUUGUGUUCUGUAUAUUUAGAGCGUAUGCCCAUCUUCGUGUGGGAAACCCAGCAAGUAUGCGUCGCGUCCACCUUGAACUCUUCGGGUUCAAGGGUAAUGACAUGCAGCGGCAUCAUCGGAGUGCUU